GGGGAGUUGGCUCAGUGGUAGAGCAUUUGCCUCUCAUGCAUGAGCCCUGGAUUCGAUUCCUCA
rnacentral:tRNA from 1 species